rnacentral:rRNA from 1 species
CACGUAGGGCGCAAGCGUUGUCCGGAAUUAUUGGGCGUAAAGAGCUCGUAGGCGGUCUGUUACGUCUGCUGUGAAAACCCUGGGCUUAACCCUGGGCUUGCAGUGGAUACGGGCAGACUAGAGGCAGGUAGGGGAGAAUGGAAUUCCCGGUGUAGCGGUGAAAUGCGCAGAUAUCGGGAGGAACACCGGUGGCGAAGGCGGUUCUCUGGGACGGUACUGACGCUGAGACGCGAAAGCGUGGGGAGCAAACAGG